UCAGACGAUGCGUCAUGCAUAUCAAUAAGCGGAGGAAAAGAAACUAACAAGGAUUCCCUUAGUAACGGCGAGUGAAGCGGGAAGAGCUCAAAUUUGAAAUCUUGAAAGGUCACCUUUCACGAAUUGUAGUUUAAAGAAGUGUUUUCUGUUACGAUCCGUAAUAUAAGUUCUUUGGAAUAGGACAUCACAGAGGGUGAGAAUCCCGUCUAUGAUUGCGAUUUGUAGCUUUGUGAUACACUUUCAAAGAGUCGGGUUGUUUGGGAAUGCAGCCCAAAACGGGAGGUAAAUUUCUUCUAAGGCUAAAUAUUGGCGAGAGACCGAUAGCGAACAAGUACCGUGAGGGAAAGAUGAAAAGAACUUUGAAAAGAGAGUUAAAUAGUACGUGAAAUUGUCAAAAGGGAAGCGUUUAACACCAGUGUUGUUUUCCGAAAAUCAACCUCUGUUAGCUUUAUGCAUGUUUGUUUAGGACCUAAUCAGCUAUCUUGCAUGUUCUAUUGUUUGCAGUGGUGCACUUUUCAGUUUACAGGUCAACAUCAGUUUUUUUUACCGUAAAAAAGUUAAAGAAAGGGUAGCUCAUGGCUCCGGUCGUGAGUGUUAUAGUCUUUUUCCUAUGCGGUAGGAGAGACUGAGGUCUGCAGUGUAGGCUAUUUGGCUAGAUACUCAGGUGCUAUGUGAUACCAUUUCAUAAACAACUUGUUGAUUAUGUUUUGUCUAUUGCAUACUCGCUUGUACUAUCAUACCUACGCUUAGGAUGUUGAUCUGUAGUGCGUGCGC
rnacentral:rRNA from 1 species